rnacentral:rRNA from 1 species
UUGGAGGGCAGUCUGGUGCCAGCAGCCGCGGUAAUUCCAGCUCCAAUAGCGUAUAUUAAAAUUGUUGCAGUUAAAAAGCUCGUAGUUGAAUUUCUGCUGCAUUGCAUUUUCUCCUAUACGAGUUUUUGCAUUGUGGCUUAUUUCGGUUAUAAAAUUUAUUUUAUUUCCGGAUGUUUACUUUGAGAAAAUUAGAGUGCUCAAAGCAGGCUUUUGCCUUGAAUAGUUUAGCAUGGAAUAAUAAAGUAGGACUUUGGUUCUAUUUUGUUGGUUUUAGGUACCAAAGUAAUGGUUAAUAGGAACAGUUGGGGGCAUUCGUAUUUAACUGUCAGAGGUGAAAUUCUUAGAUUUGUUAAAGACGAACUACUGCGAAAGCAUUUGCCAAGGAUGUUUUCAUUAAUCAAGAACGAAAGUUAGGGGAUCGAAGACGAUCAGAUACCGU